GCUUAACACAUGCAAGUCGAGCGGGGAAGGGUAGCUUGCUACCUAACCUAGCGGCGGACGGGUGAGUAAUGCUUAGGAAUCUGCCUAUUAGUGGGGGACAACAUUCCGAAAGGAAUGCUAAUACCGCAUACGCCCUACGGGGGAAAGCAGGGGAUCUUCGGACCUUGCGCUAAUAGAUGAGCCUAAGUCAGAUUAGCUAGUUGGUGGGGUAAAGGCCUACCAAGGCGACGAUCUGUAGCGGGUCUGAGAGGAUGAUCCGCCACACUGGGACUGAGACACGGCCCAGACUCCUACGGGAGGCAGCAGUGGGGAAUAUUGGACAAUGGGCGAAAGCCUGAUCCAGCCAUGCCGCGUGUGUGAAGAAGGCCUUUUGGUUGUAAAGCACUUUAAGCGAGGAGGAGGCUACUUAGAUUAAUACUCUAGGAUAGUGGACGUUACUCGCAGAAUAAGCACCGGCUAACUCUGUGCCAGCAGCCGCGGUAAUACAGAGGGUGCGAGCGUUAAUCGGAUUUACUGGGCGUAAAGCGUGCGUAGGCGGCUUCUUAAGUCGGAUGUGAAAUCCCUGAGCUUAACUUAGGAAUUGCAUUCGAUACUGGGAAGCUAGAGUAUGGGAGAGGAUGGUAGAAUUCCAGGUGUAGCGGUGAAAUGCGUAGAGAUCUGGAGGAAUACCGAUGGCGAAGGCAGCCAUCUGGCCUAAUACUGACGCUGAGGUACGAAAGCAUGGGGAGCAAACAGGAUUAGAUACCCUGGUAGUCCAUGCCGUAAACGAUGUCUACUAGCCGUUGGGGCCUUUGAGGCUUUAGUGGCGCAGCUAACGCGAUAAGUAGACCGCCUGGGGAGUACGGUCGCGAGACUAAAACUCAAAUGAAUUGACGG
rnacentral:rRNA from 1 species